rnacentral:lncRNA from 1 species
AAGUCUCUUCAUCCCGUCUACACGGUAACCAACAUUCAGCAUAAGAUCCGAGUUCUGGAUGGCACUAAGGUGUCAUACUUAUCUUGGGUCAAGAUGUUCGAGCUUCAUGCAAAAUGAUAUGAUGUGUUGAAUCAUAUUGACGGUACUGAACCCCUGCUGAGACUGGCCACUCUUUGAUUCAUGGUCAAAAUUGAUGCCAUCAUCCUUCAGUGGAUCUAUGGGACGGUGUCAGACGAACUUAUGGUUCGUGUCUUGACCACUGAAUCCACUACUUAUCAGACCCCGAUAUAUCUUUCUGAAUAACAAAGGCUCUUGAGCCGCUGCAUUGGAUCAUGAGUUCACCAACCUCACCCUAUGGUCCAUGCCGAAGCCUACUGUGAACGACUUCGUGAACUUGCAGACCAGCUUUCUGAUAUUGACAACCCAGUUACUGAAAAAUGUUUGGUUUGACAUAACUUGGCAUUCUAAACACAAGGAUAUGUGCAAGGGGCGUAUAUGAAACAUUCAGGGGCUCCAAUC